CCUGGUUGAUCCUGCCAGUAGUCAUAUGCUUGUCUCAAAGGAUUAAGCCAUGCCAUGUGCUAAGUACUGAACUAAUUCAGGACUGGUGAAACUGCGAAUGGGCUCAUUAAAAUCAAGUUAUAGUUUGUUUUGAUGGUAUCUUGCUACUCGGAUAACCGCUAGUAAUUCUUAGAGCAAUACGUGGCCCCACCAACCCCGACUUCCUGGAAGGGCAUGCAUUUAUUAGAUAAAGAAGGGUCCGACGCGCGGGCUCUGCCCGUUGCUCUGAUCGGAUUCAUGAUAACUCGACGCGAUCGCAAGGCCACUGUGCGCGACGCAUCAUUCAAAUUUCUGCGCCUAUCAACUUCGGCAUGGGUAGGGGCAUAGGAGGCCUACCAUUGGUGGGUACGGGGUGACGCGAGAAUUAGGGUCGAUUCCCGGACAGGGACCUGAGAAACGGCUACCACAUCCAAGGGAAGGCAGCAGGCGCGCAAUUACCCAAAUCCUGACACGAGGGUCAGUGGACAAAAAUAACAAUUACCGGCUCUAUCGGAGUCUUGGUAAUUGGAAUGAGUACCAAUCUAAAUCCCUAACGAGGAUCCAUUUGGGAGGGCAUAGUCUCGGCUGCCCAGCAGCCGGCGGGUAAUUUCCCAGCUCCAAUUUAGCGUAUAUUUAAGUUGUUGCAGUUAAAAAAGCUCGUAGUUGAGACCUUGUGAUGGGGUCGGGCCGGCUCCGGCCUCGUGGUGUUGCCACCGGCCGUCUCGGUCCCCUUCUGCCGGCUGAUGGCGCUCCUGGCCUUAACUUGGCCGGCGGUCGGUGGCCACGCGGCCGCUGUUACUUUUGAAGAAAUUAGAGUGCUCAAAAAGCAGCUACGCCUCUGUAUACAUUGAGCAAGCUGGGAUAACAUCAUUAGGAUUCGGUCCAUUUCUGUUGGCCUUCGGGAUCGGGAGCUAAUGAUCUAACAGGGACAGUUCGGGGGCGGGCAUUCGCUUAUUUCAUAGUCAGAGGCUGAGAAUUCUUGGAUAUUUGGAAAGGCACGAACAACUGCGCGAAGGCAUUUGCCAAGGAUGUUUUCAUUAAUCAAGAACGGAAAGUUGGGGGGGCUUCGGGAAGACGAUCAGAUACCGUCCUAGUCUCAACCCGAUAAACGAUUGCCGACCAGGAUUCAGCGGAUUGUUACUUUAGGACUCGCUUGGCACCUUAUGUGAGAAAUUCAAAGUCUUUGGGCUUCCGGGGGGAGCUCAUGGGUCGCAAGGGGCUGAAACUUAAAGGACAUGAACGGGAAGGGCACCACCAGCGAGUGGGGAGGGCCUGCGGCUAAUUUUGACUCAACACGGGAAAUCUUACCACGGUCCAAGACAUAGUAAGCGAUUUGACAGGACCUGGAAGAGCCUCUUUCUUGAUUCUAUGGGUGUGGUGCGAGGCCGUUCUUAGUUUUGGUGGAGGAUUGGGGUCAUGGUUAAUUCCUGUUAACGAAACGGAGACCUCAGCCUGCCCUAACUAGCUAUGGCGGAGGUAUCCGCCUCCGUGGGCCAGCUUCUUAGGGGAGGGACUAUGCGGGCCGCUUAGGCCAAGGAAGUUUGAGGCAAUAACAGGUCUGUGAUGCCCCUUAGAUGUUCUGGGCCGCACGGCGCCGCUACACGAUGUAUUCAACGAGUCUAUAGCCUUUGGGGCCGACAGGGGGGUAAUCUUUGAAAUUCAUCCUCGCAUGCGGGAGAUCAUGCCAAUUGUUGGUUCUUCAACGAGGGAAAUUCCUAGUAAGCGCGGGAGUCAUCAGCUCGGCGUUGACCUUACGUCCCCUGCCCUUUGUCACACCGGGGCCGGAUCGGCUUUCCUACCGGGAUUGAAUGGGUCCCCCGCGUGAAGUGUUCGGAUCGCGG
rnacentral:rRNA from 1 species